CCUACGGGAGGCAGCAGUAAGGAAUAUUGGUCAAUGGACGCAAGUCUGAACCAGCCAUGCCGCGUGAAGGAUUAGGGCCCUCUGGGUUGUAAACUUCUUUUAUAGGGGACGAAAAAAGGGCAUUCUUGCUCACUUGACGGUACCCUAGGAAUAAGCACCGGCUAACUCCGUGCCAGCAGCCGCGGUAAUACGGAGGGUGCAAGCGUUAUCCGGAUUUACUGGGUUUAAAGGGUGCGUAGGUGGGUUGGUAAGUCAGUGGUGAAAUCUUCGAGCUUAACUCGGAAACUGCCAUUGAUACUAUCAAUCUUGAAUCAUCUAGAGGUAAGCGGAAUAUGUCAUGUAGCGGUGAAAUGCUUAGAUAUGACAUAGAACACCAAUUGCGAAGGCAGCUUACUAUGGAUGCAUUGACACUGAGGCACGAAAGCGUGGGGAUCAAACAGGAUUAGAUACCCUGGUAGUCCACGCCCUAAACGAUGGAUACUCGACAUUUGUGUAUAUACUAAUAAGUAGUCUGAGAGAAGACAUUAAGUUAUACCACCGUACGGAAGGUAACGACCGACGAACGGUUAGUAACGUACGAAAGAAAGUUAGUACGGCGUGAGACGUAGACCGACGGACGACGACGAGGGGAGGAGG
rnacentral:rRNA from 1 species